rnacentral:lncRNA from 1 species
AGCUGCUCCAUGCAGUUGGCAUCGCCGCAUAGAGAUUUGGAAGAAGAGAAACCAGGCCAAAUGGGUCGGGUCGGGUUUAUAAUUUGGGUUGUGUUCAUAAUUGGACGUUGGAGAUGGGAAUGAGAAAAAACAGAGGAGGAAGAAGAAGAAGGCAGACAAGCAAUGCGAAUAAUAAUAAAUGCAAAUGAGAGCUUUUGAAGAAAACAAAGAAAGAGGAUGAGAGAGUGUUGAAGGCAAGAAGGAAGAAAGAGACGAGACAUAUUGACUAGUACCUUAUCAAUAUGAAACGCACCGUUCUAAUACUCAAAACGAGACAAAACCGUAGGUGUACAGGUACAGCUUUUUUGCUGGUCAUGUGUGCUUUCAUUUUCGUUUCUCUGGGUCCUUAAUUUA